GCUGUGGUAGCUCAGUGGUUAAGAUGUUGGUCUACUGAUUGGAAGGUCAUGAGUUCAAGUCCCAGCUCCACCA